AAACUCAGAAUACGAUGAAGUUCGAUCACGGGAGACACACUGCGGGUGCUAAGGUCCGCAGUGGAAAGGGAAACAGCCCAGACCGCCAACUAAGGUCCCAAAGUCAUAGCUAAGUGGGAAACGAAGUGGGAAGGCCCAGACAGCCAGGAGGUUGGCUUAGAAGCAGCCACCCUUUAAAGAAAGCGUAAUAGCUCACUGGUCGAGUCGGCCUGCACGUAAGAUUUAACGGGGCUAAGCUAUGCACUGAAGUUGCGGAAUAUAUUUAGUAUAUUGGUAGGGGAGCGUUCUGUAAGCCGAUGAAGGUGAAUUGAGAAGUUUGCUGGAGGUAUCAGAAGUGCGAAUGCUGACAUGAGUAACGUAAAAUAAGUGAGAUUCUUAUUGGCCGAAAACCCAAGGGUUCCUACGCAAUGUUAAUCAACGUAGGGUAAGCCGGCCCCUAAGGCGUAGCUGAAGAGUGAAGUCGAUGGGAAACAGGUUAAUAUUCCUGUGCUGCUUAUAUGAACGAAGGAGGGACGGAGAAGGUUAGGUAGGCCUGGCGAAUGGUUGUCCAGGUGAAAGUAUGUAGGUAGGAAUGCUAGGCAAAUCCGGUGUUCUGUUGAUCUGAGAUACGAGACGAAGUUAAACUUGUUUGACGAAGCUAUUGAUACCAUGCUUCCAGGAAAAGCUUCUAAGUAUAUUGUAUAAGUGACCGUACUGUAAACCGACACUGGUGGGUAGGUAGAGAAUACUAAGGCUAUGAGAUAACUCUGGUGAAGGAACUAGGCAAAAUGACACCGUAACUUUGGAAGAAGGUGUGCCCUUGAUGGUGAUGAGACUUGCUCUUUGAGCUGUUGGGGGUUGCAGAUACCAGGUGGCUGCGACUGUUUAUCAAAAACACAGCACUCUGCGAAAUCGUAAGAUGAAGUAUAGGGUGUGACGCCUGCCCGGUGCUGGAAGGUUAAUUGAAGGGGUUAGCGCAAGCGAAGCUCUGGAUCGAAGCCCCAGUAAACGGCGGCCGUAACUAUAACGGUCCUAAGGUAGCGAAAUUCCUUGUCGGGUAAGUUCCGACCUGCACGAAUGGCGUAACGAUGGCCACACUGUCUCCACCAGAGACUCAGUGAAAUUGAAAUCGCUGUGAAGAUGCAGUGUACCCGCGGUUAGACGGAAAGACCCCGUGAACCUUUACUAUAGCUUUGCACUGGACUUUGAAUAUUUAUGUGUAGGAUAGGUGGGAGACCAUGAAGCAGCUACGCCAGUAGUUGUGGAGUCGUCCUUGAAAUACCACCCUUGAAUAUUUGAAGUUCUAACUCAGGAGAGAUUCGAGGACAGUGUAUGGUGGGUAGUUUGACUGGGGCGGUCUCCUCCUAAAGAGUAACGGAGGAGUACGAAGGUGCACUCGGUACGGUCGGAAAUCGUGCCAAGAGUAUAAAGGCAAAAGUGCGCUUGACUGCGAGAGUGACGGCUCGAGCAGGUACGAAAGUAGGUCUUAGUGAUCCGGUGGUCCCGAAUGGAAGGGUCAUCGCUCAACGGAUAAAAGGUACUCCGGGGAUAACAGGCUAAUUCCUCCCAAGAGUUCAUAUCGACGGAGGAGUUUGGCACCUCGAUGUCGGCUCAUCACAUCCUGGGGCUGAAGUAGGUCCCAAGGGUAUGGCUGUUCGCCAUUUAAAGUGGUACGCGAGCUGGGUUCAGAACGUCGUGAGACAGUUCGGUCCCUAUCUGCCGUGGGCGUUAGAGAUUUGAGAAGAGUUGCUCCUAGUACGAGAGGACCGGAGUGAACGAACCACUGGCGUUCCGGUUGUUUCGCCAGAAGCAUUGCCGGGUAGCUACGUUUGGACGGGAUAAACGCUGAAAGCAUCUAAGCGUGAAGCCUCCUUCAAGAUUAGAUCUCUCUGAUGAAAAUCAGUAAGGAACGUUGGAGACUACGACGUUGAUAGGCUGGGUGUGGAAGUACAGCAAUGUAUGAAGCUUACCAGUACUAAUGAUCCGAGAGACUUAAGUCUAU
rnacentral:rRNA from 1 species